AGUACGUGAAACUGCUUAGAGGUUAAACCCGAUGAACCUGAAUAUCCAUUAUGGAAAAUUCAAUACUAAUGUUAAAAUGUUUUAUUACAUUUAAAAAAUAGUGUGCAAUUUUUCCAUAUAAGGACAUUGUAAUCUGUUAAUGUCAUAAAUAUUUAUCAAAAGAUUUAAUACUCAAAGUUUAUUUAAAUUGUUUAUUUUCGGAUAUUCAACAUAAAAUAAAUGUAUUUAAAUUGGAUAAAUCAUUGACAGAUAUAAUUAUAUAAUGUGCUUAAAUUCUUUAUUUAGAAUUUAGCAAUAAUAUUUAAAUCUAUUGAUUUAUAAUAUUUAUUUGCCUGUACUAUUAUGAUUAACAAUGCGAUAGAUUCAGGAUACCUUCGGGACCCGUCUUGAAACACGGACCAAGGAGUCUAACAUAUGUGCAAGUCAUUGGGUAUUUUUAAUAAAACCCAAUGGCAUAAUUAACUUAACUUUUUUAUAUAUGGGAUUAAUUUAUAAUUUUUUUUAUUAAAAAUUAUUUAUUCAAUCCCGGGGCGUUCUAUAUAGUUAUGUAUGAUAAUAUUUAUAUUAUUUAUACCUCUAACUAGAGCGUACCUUGAGC
rnacentral:rRNA from 2 species